rnacentral:rRNA from 1 species
CUAGAAGAUGACGAGUGGCGGACGGGUGAGUAAUGCUUGGGAACUUGCCUUUGCGAGGGGGAUAACAGUUGGAAACGACUGCUAAUACCGCAUAAUGUCUUCGGACCAAACGGGGCUUAGGCUCCGGCGCAAAGAGAGGCCCAAGUGAGAUUAGCUAGUUGGUAAGGUAACGGCUUACCAAGGCGACGAUCUCUAGCUGUUCUGAGAGGAAGAUCAGCCACACUGGGACUGAGACACGGCCCAGACUCCUACGGGAGGCAGCAGUGGGGAAUAUUGCACAAUGGGGGAAACCCUGAUGCAGCCAUGCCGCGUGUGUGAAGAAGGCCUUCGGGUUGUAAAGCACUUUCAGUUGUGAGGAAAAGUUAGUAGUUAAUACCUGCUAGCCGUGACGUUAACAACAGAAGAAGCACCGGCUAACUCCGUGCCAGCAGCCGCGGUAAUACGGAGGGUGCGAGCGUUAAUCGGAAUUACUGGGCGUAAAGCGCACGCAGGCGGUUUGUUAAGCUAGAUGUGAAAGCCCCGGGCUCAACCUGGGAUGGUCAUUUAGAACUGGCAGACUAGAGUCUUGGAGAGGGGAGUGGAAUUCCAGGUGUAGCGGU